rnacentral:lncRNA from 10 species
UCCCAGUUCAAGAACCCCCAGGCAGAAAGAAUUCUGUCUUACUUGGGAGAGGUUGGGGGGGGGGGGUCAGUCUUUAUGUUCUAUGCAGGCCUUCAGUUGAUUGGAUGAGGCCCACCCACAUUAGAGAAGGCAGUUUGCUUUAUUCACUCUACUGAUUUAAAUGUUAAUCUCAUCCAAAAACGCCCUCACAGAAACACCCACAGUAAUGUUUGACUAAACAUCUGGGAACCCCAUGACCGAGGCUUCUGACUCCUCCAAAACAUAACUAAUAAUGGAGCCUUAUUGAUAACAUAGACAAUUAACACAUAUUUUGUCUAUGUAUUAUUUACUGUAUUCUUAUACUAAAAUAAGCUAGAUAAAAGAAAAUGUUAUUAAGAAAAUAGAUCUACUCUUCAUUAAGUGGAAGUGGAUUAUCAUAAAGUUUGUCAUGUAGAGUAGGCUGAGGAGGAGGAGGAGGAAGACAAGGGCUCCAUCUUGCUGAAGAGAAGGGCUCCAUCUUGCUGUUUCUGGGUGGCAGAGAUGGAACAGAUAGAGGAGCUGGAAGAGGAAGCAGAAGAGGAAGACACACUUUGUCAGCUGAAAGCGUGCGGUGGCUCACGCCUAUAAUCCCAGCACCUUGGGAGGCCAUGGCAGGAGGAUCACCUGAGAUCAGGAGUUCAAGACCAGCCUGGUGAAACCCCAUCUCUACAAAAAAUACAAAACUUAGCCGGGCAUGGUGGCAUGCACCUAUAACCCCAGCUACUAGGGAGGCUGAGACAGGAAAAUCGCUUGCACCCGGGAGGUGGAGGUUGCAGUGAGCCAAGAUCACACCACUGCACUGCAGCCUGGACAACAGAGCAAGACUCCAUCUCAAAUAAAUAAAUAAAUAAAUAAAUAAAUAAAUAAAUAAAUAAAUAAGAAUAGCAGGUUCCUGGUUGCGUAGCUUUCUGCAUAUGGCAGAGAAAACCAAUACCUUGGAUCACCAUGGAGUACAAUACUGUAGUUGUUCAUUUCCAGGUGAUACAGCACAG